UACGUAGGGGGCAAGCGUUGUCCGGAUUUAUUGGGCGUAAAGAGCUCGUAGGCGGUUUGGUAAGUCGGGUGUGAAAUCUCGGAGCUUAACUCCGAAACUGCAUUCGAUACUGCCGUGCUUGAGGACUGGAGAGGAGACUGGAAUUUACGGUGUAGCGGUGAAAUGCGUAGAUAUCGUAAGGAAGACCAGUGGCGAAGGCGGGUCUCUGGACAGUUCCUGACGCUGAGGCACGAAGGCCAGGGGAGCAAACGGG
rnacentral:rRNA from 1 species